GGUGAUCUGAUGAUUGCUGGCUAUUUUUCUCUCAGGACAUUUUGUUGGUUCUGGGAGUACACUGAUGGUUUGGGCUUGACCCAGGUAGAGGGACUCUGCUGCAAAAAGAGAAACCAGUGAAGCUUUUAAUAAUCCUGUGGAGCACUGGAAACUUGAGGAGCCUCAAAUGCAUGCUUGUUUCUCCCCAUUGUACUGAAAUCUCCCACAGUCUCAUAGAGCUUAGAAAACAAAGACUCUUCAGGAAGAGGCCUGCUUCAAACACAUGUCCAAUCUCCCUCUGAAGACAUUUAUCAGAUCUUGAAGUUGCAUGGGGGAGGAGGCCAAAAAGUAAGCUGAAAACUUCCAAAUGGCAGAAAUGUAUCUCCUACAGCCUUUCAAUAUGAGGAAGAGCCAAAGAACCACCAUGCUUGCAAUGAAGAGCCUGGGAUAGCCAUGGCUCAGGAACAUGAUUAAAUCAGAAAUAGACUGACUUUUACUAAAACUUUAUCUCUGUUCAAUUUACGAUUGGAUUGAAGUGAUUGGACCCUUUUAUGUGCCAAACAGAGAUGUAUUAGUCUGCUUGAGCUGCCAUAACAAAAUAGUGCAGACCGGGUGGCUGACAUAACAGAAAAUUUACUUCUCACAGUUUUGAAGACUGAGAAGUCCACGAUCAGCAUUCUGGUCCUUUAUACAUAACAUUCUACCUACAAAUAAGAGUCACUACACAUGUGAAGCAGCAAUGUCAUAUGACCAAUAAUCAAGAGAGGAAAAAAAAGCAAAACAAGCAAAUAGAUGAUCUGCAUAAUUGAAGUUAACAGACAAGAACUUUAAAACAACCAUAAUUGGGACUUCUGGAUAGCUAAGGGCAUAACAGCUGCACCAUUUAGCUAUAUGCCUCCCUGUAUUUCCUCCCUAAAGAAUUAAAACCAACAAAAAAUGGUAUGUAAAUCUAGACGAAACCAUGCCUUCGGCAUAACUUGAAGACAGAGAAUGCUAAAAUAUUAAAAUGACCGUGACUAGGCUGGGCACAGUGGCUCACACCUGUAAUCCCAGCACUUUGGGAGGCUGAGGCAGGUGGAUCACUUGAGGCCAGGAGUUUGAUACCAGCCUGGCCAACAUGGUGAAACCCUGUCUCUACUAAAAAUACAACAAAAUUAGCCAGGCAUGGUGGUACCUACCUGUAAUCCCAGUUACUGGGAGGAUGAGGUACAAGAAUUGCUUGAACUCGGGAGGGAGGUUGCAGUGAGCCGAGAUUGUCCCACUGCACUCCAGCCUGGAUGACAGAGUAAGACUCUGUCUCAAAAAUAAAGUAAAUAAAAUGACUGUGACUAAACAGAGAAAGUCACUACAUUCCAGUGUAAGAUCUCAUAUUCUGGCUUGAUCCCUGUAUUGCACAAGGCUCUUUAGAGAGUAAAGACAGACUGAGAAAAACUUCAGG
rnacentral:lncRNA from 1 species